UAUAUCCGUCCACUGUCUAUGACGCAACAACCGGCCAAUACCGUGUCGCAAAAGUUUGACGAACUCGCUGCGGGUGAGUUCUCAACUGUUGCUUCCCCUCCUCGAUAUGAGAGCCAAGUGGCGAAAGAAACGCAUGCGCAGACUGAAGCGUAAAAGGAGAAAGAUGAGGCAGAGGUCCAAGUGAGCUGCCCCCUUCCUCGUGGCUGAGUCGCGGCUCGCGGUCAGCAUGAUAACAGCUGCUGAACCGGAACUAAGACGAUUCUCAUCUGACUGAGGCCAGUGGCGUUCACGCCUGUCCAAGUCUGUGGAGGAAGCAAACCUGGAGGGAAGACCACAUGCUGGACAUUUGUUUUGCGACAUUGUGAACUCUACAUUCUCUAACUUUUGUCAUGUGUUGUUCUUUAUACUAUGAUUAAAGUUUUGGUUUAAAAAACAAAAAA